CAGUCGCCGCGGGAAUACGAAGGGGGCUAGCGUUGUUCGGAAUUACUGGGCGUAAAUCGCACGUAGGCGGACAUUUAAGUCAGGGGUGAAAUCCCGGGGCUCAACCCCGGAACUGCCUUUGAUACUGGGUGUCUAGAGUAUGGAAGAGGUGAGUGUAAUUCCGAGUGUAGAGGUGAAAUUCGUAGAUAUUCGGAGGAACACCAGUGGCGAAGGCGGCUCACUGGUCCAUUACUGACGCUGAGGUGCGAAAGCGUGGGGAGCAAACAGGAUUAGAUACCCCUGUAGUCCCUGUCUCUUAUAC
rnacentral:rRNA from 1 species